rnacentral:rRNA from 1 species
UAGCGGCGGACGGGUGAGUAAUGCUUAGGAAUCUGCCUAUUAGUGGGGGACAACAUUUCGAAAGGAAUGCUAAUACCGCAUACGUCCUACGGGAGAAAGCAGGGGAUCUUCGGACCUUGCGCUAAUAGAUGAGCCUAAGUCGGAUUAGCUAGUUGGUGGGGUAAAGGCCUACCAAGGCGACGAUCUGUAGCGGGUCUGAGAGGAUGAUCCGCCACACUGGGACUGAGACACGGCCCAGACUCCUACGGGAGGCAGCAGUGGGGAAUAUUGGACAAUGGGCGCAAGCCUGAUCCAGCCAUGCCGCGUGUGUGAAGAAGGCCUUAUGGUUGUAAAGCACUUUAAGCGAGGAGGAGGCUACUUUAGUUAAUACCUAGAGAUAGUGGACGUUACUCGCAGAAUAAGCACCGGCUAA